CCUACGGGUGGCAGCAGUCGAGAAUCAUUCACAAUGGGGGAAACCCUGAUGGUGCGACGCCGCGUGGGGGAAUGAAGGUCUUCGGAUUGUAAACCCCUGUCAUGUGGGAGCAAAUUAAAAAGAUAGUACCACAAGAGGAAGAGACGGCUAACUCUGUGACAGCAGCCGCGGUAAUACACAGGUCGCAAGCGUUGUUCGGAAUCACUGGGCGUAAAGCGUGCGUAGGCGGUUUCGUAAGUCGUGUGUGAAAGCUGCGGGCUCAACCCGCGGACGUCACAUGAUACUGCGAGACUAGAGUAAAGGAGGGGGGAGUGGAAUUCUCGGUGUAGCAGUGAAAUGCGUAGAUAUCGGGAGGAACACUCGUGGCGAAGGCGGGUUCCUGGACAGUAACUGACGCUGAGGCACGAAGGCCAGGGGAGCGAAAGGGAUUAGAUACCCCUGUAGUC
rnacentral:rRNA from 1 species